ensembl:snRNA U6 U6 spliceosomal RNA
GUGCUCACUUCAGCAACACAUAUACUAAAAUUGGAACGAUACAGAGAAGAUUAGCAUGGCCCCUGCACAAAGGAUGACAUGCAAAUUAGUGAAGCAUUAAAAUAAAUG